rnacentral:miRNA from 1 species
ACAGGGCUGGCUGAUCCGUGC